rnacentral:lncRNA from 1 species
GUGGGGAGCAGACCUCAACUGCCCUUCUGGAAAGAAAUCAGGCAUAGGCAAUUUUGGUGGGGAAACACUAUUUUUGGGGCAAGAAUUGGUGUGGAGUGGGGGCCAUCAUAUUGUUCUGGUCAGUCUUUCCUUCUCUCUGGUCCCCUGUGGCCCUUGGUGGCAUUUCUGAAGACCUUGCACUAGAUCCUUCUAAUGAGAAAGGGGCAGGUCCAGGCUUCUUCUGGCAUGGCAGGAAAGCACCACCCAGUUCUCUCUGUUGACAGCAGGGGUGUGAACAGUCUCAGGUGGGAGAGCAAAGUGAUAACUGAGGUGCUGUUUCUUUCCAUCUCCCCACUGUUUGUAGACUCUGAGCAAACUUGCUGCAGGAGGCCUCUCCAAUUGGAAGGAAUAACACUCUGGUACCAUGUUGGGACCAAGACUCUUGAUUAAUAAAUGAUUGGGACACAGAGCACGGUAGCUCUUGUCAGCAUCCCCACUUCACAGGUGAAGAAACAAGUUCAGAGGAGUUGUGUGAUUGGCUCAACCCAGCCCGUGAAGAUCAUCCGGGCUAGAAACGAAGAGAGUCGGAGCCUAGACAUGACAUCUGCUCUCUGCACCAUCCAGAGCUCUGUGAUGCACAGGACACCCUGGCAUCCUGAUGGAGCUAGAACUCACGGACAUCACAGCGCCCCAGGACUCUCCUGGACUGUGCUUCUGGGCCAUGUACACCGAAGAGGCACUGAUUAGAGCUGAGUGCCAUUGCUCCUGCCCGAGAGUUUGGCUGUCAGGAUGCAGGUGAUGAGGCCGAAGUUGCUGCCUAUAUCAGGUUGUUUCCUUGGAGCUUGUCUCCUACUGGUCAUCUGCCUGCCUGUCUCUGUCAGCGGUAAGGUUGAAUGAAAAGAAGCACUGUGCAGAAAAAGAAGAGCUGUGGCGCAUUAGCUCACCGACAGUACCUCAAUCCCUCCCCUAAAUAAAUCUCCAGCACUUUUUCUUUUUGUUAAUGUACUGAAGCAGGAGCCUGGAAUACUGUGGGGAAAUGGGUCAGAUUUAUCUCUGCCCUUUUAGAGCAGCCAUGGACUCUUCAUUUACUUACCCGAAGAUUUCCUUGUCACAAUCCAACCCCAAGAAAUUGAGUCAUAAAUUGAGAGGCCAUAUGUGAAAGGACUUUAAAAUCUCUGAAGUGCUAAAGAAAUAAAAAUUACUGCUGUCAUUUCUAUCUUCUUGGCUUUAUUGGAAGAGGGCUUUGCCUCUGCUCCCAGGAUUCCUGUUAAAGAUCUCCUCCUUGUUGGAUUCUUGCAUUAGACCCCCACCUUGAAAUAAAAUUCAUAUAGUAUUUGAGUUCCUACCAUGUUCAAAUAUAUAAUCUUAUCGAAUCUC